AGUUUGUUGUUUUUUAUAUCAAAUUUUUUCUGCCCGGUGAUAAUAUUAAACGGCCGCGGUAUCUUGACCGUGCAAAGGUAGCAUAAUCAUUUGUUCUUUAAUUGGGGACUUGUAUGAAGGAAAGUUUGAGGUUUUAUCUGUUUCUUUUUUGUUUUAGAAUUUUUUGUUUGUGUGAAGAAACACAGAUGAGUAAAAAAGACAAGAAGACCCUUUUAAGCUUUAUUUUUUGUUUUUAUUGCUUUUCUCUAGGAGUAUUUUGUUAUAAAAAUUAGAAUUUAGUUGGGGCGACUAAAGAAGAUCUAAUCUUCUUUUUUAAGAAAAACUGUUUGUUAAAAAAAGACCCGUUAUUUAUCGGUUGAAAGAAAUAGUUACUAAAGGGAUAACAGCGUAAUCUUUUCAGAGAGUUCUUAUUGAAGAAAAGGAUUGCGACCUCGAUGUUGACUUGUUUUUUCCUUUUAAGGUGCAGAAGCUAAAAGGGUUAGUCUGUUCGACUAUUAAAAUAGU
rnacentral:rRNA from 1 species